AGUCUAGGUAUUUAUUAUAUUUAUACAUAUGGAGAUUUGAAUUUAUUUUUUUGGGAGAGAAAAUUAGAUAUGUUCUUUUUGGUUCUACAUGUUAAGGGGAAGAAGUGUUUUCUUUUAAUUACGGGUUGGGUAUCAGGCUUUAAAUAAAUAAAUAAUUAAAUAAGAGCAGGAAAACAAAUAGUGAUAUUGGGAUGGAAAUAUUUAAGGAAGUUUUAGAGUAAACUAGGGUAAAAAAAGGAGAUUCUUUCAACGUGAAAAGUAACCUAGCAACCUUCAUUCAAAUUAGGGCAUUGGUGAAGAGGGUGAGACCUUGCAACUCUGUAGUGAACCAAGCAAGACAUUAGAAAAGUUUAUUUAGAUUCAGGUAAGGGGAGUGGCUAGAAUUAUCUUGUGCUUGUAGUGUUUGAUAUUGUAUGUUAUUUUUCUUAUUAUGUGUUGCAUUGUAUGAGGCUGGUGUUGUUUUUCCUCUACAUGGAAAAUUUGGGGGUGACGAGGGAUGUGUUGAGCGAGGGACUGUCAUGGAGGGGUACAUGGUUUCUCCUUGUUUUAUGCUCUUUGAUUUACACGACAAAAAAAAAAAAUAGGUAGGCAUGAGUUUCUCUUCGUUUACUGAAUGAUAAUUGGGGAAGAGUUGUUAUAUAUAUAUAUAUAUAUGUGUGUGCGCGCGCGCGCGCCAGAGUGAGAGAAGAGCAGGGUAAUUCAAUUAUAUUUUUGGAUAUAUGAUAGAAGUUGGUGGCAAAGUUAAUAGUGAGACACGAUUUUGGUUUUGUUUGAAUUACUUUUAGAGUAGGUAAUAUUUUAUUCAUACUUUGUCAUUCUUUUGAUAAGCUUUUGUGGAGAUUUCCGUGGAAGUAAGACAAGAGUGAUGCAUGGGUUGGUUGCACCAAGUAGAAAUUGUAUAUUGAAGAUCUUGUUGAAGAUCUUUGGGUUGACACAUUGGUACAACAAAAAUUCUUCUUCUCCUCUUACACUUUUUCACUCAACUUAGGCGGUCCAUCUUCUAUAAUAUCUAAAACAUCCGGGAAGCCAAAGAUAGCUUGCAUCUUGAUGCAUCAGUCAUCAAAGUGUUUCCCAUCAAACACUAGUAAUGGCCCACGUAUACUCAAAUGCCUACCAUCCCUUUCUUGCUGAACUCUUGCAAUUUCUUUGAUUUUCACACAUCCAAAAAAACCUUCUUUCUCCUCUUUUGGAUACACACAAUUCCAAUCACCAAUCACACACCCACUUCACACACCAGGAACCACCAAACUUGUGCUCUUGAUACCAUAUUAGAUGUGAGGGCAUAAAAGGAAAAGUAUGUGACAUUUUAAAUGUUAUAUUAAAACACAAACACUUUGGCAAGAGAGAGAAACACGUUUUCAGAAUCUGAUGGCUUGAGAGAAGACAGAGAAAAUGAACCCUCAUGCUAGGGUUUUCAAACCACCACCCACACUGGCUAGAGAAACAAAAAAACACACUCACUGGAACACUGAAACACAACGUAGAGAGAAAACAUAGGCACUCACAAGGUACUGAAUUUCGAAUUUUUCUCAUUAACCACAUAUUGAAUGUUUUACAGUAUUUAUAUAAACUGAAAUGAACUGAAAAUUGUUUCUGUUUUGUUUAAAUCUAACUUGCUCCUAUUAACCACC
rnacentral:lncRNA from 1 species